GGGAAACCUACAGAGGGGCCAGAGAAGAGAGGAGGUUUCUGAAUAUGUUUGCCUUGUCUCCUCCAUUGACAAAGAAAGAUUGAAACCUAUAAGCUCAAAGGAAAGAGCUAAGGGAGCUGAGGUAUGACAUAACUACGUGCCUCUUACGGCUUGUUUGGAUCUGCAGUCUGCCUAACAGUGACACCUACGUCCACACUAACGGAAGAGAAAGUGUCUCAAUGAAUAGCAUUUCAAUGGUGCAUACAACACAAGUGGAAUGGCCUUUUAGUUAGGAGUUGGAGGAGACCACGCAAAGCAGUUUCAUUUUCUGGUAAGGAGUCGGAGGAGACCAUGCAAAGCAGUUUGCUUUGUGGCAGCUUUCCCAUCAUCCCUGAAGAGUUCCUGGGAGGACUCAGCUCUCCACCAAACUUCCCCAGAACCAUCACUCCUCUCUGUGGAUGGCAGCAGAUUUAGGACAUUUGUAAGUCGUCUUUAUAAUACAAUAAACAGGAAUGAG
rnacentral:lncRNA from 1 species